rnacentral:lncRNA from 1 species
AAAUAUGUUAAGCUGAAAGAAGAUGACGUGUCAUUGAAAAUCAGUAGAAAAUAGACUACAUGAGCAUGGCUAUCACAUAGAUUAGCAGUGUAGAAGAGAAGUGGCAUUUAGUAGCAUACAAAAGUCCAAUGUAAAAGACCUUAGAAAAGUUUAGCAAAAGUUAGAAUUAUAUGAAAAAAAAGGAUUUCAAAACUCAGUUCAGAGACUUGAAAUAGGUCUGAAAGAGUUAGGGUUUUUGAAAUUAAACCUUCAAGCAAAUCACAUAGUCAAUGGUUUCCAAACUUGGAGAAAUUCUAGGGUUUCUACCAUCAAUCAAGUGCAAAGAUGAGAGGACAAGUAAUUAAGGCGAAAUAGGUUCAGAGGUCUCAGAAAAGAACUGAAACCUUUAACAUGUUCCUUCAGCAACAGAGACUCAUGAGAAACAUGGUAGAAGAGUAACGUGCGAAACACAGUAGAAGAGCUCAAAGAAAACAUAGUAGAAGAAAACUAAUCAGAACACAGUAGAAAAACAUAGUAGAAGAAACAUAGUAGAAGAAACUAAUAUGAAAUAUAGUAUAAGAAACACAGUAGAAGCAACAUACAAAGAACACAAUAAAAGGAACAUAGUAGAAGAAACCUAC